GAGGGUAUAGCUCAAUGGGAGAGUGUGUGCUUAGCAGCAUGAGGUCUUGGGUUCAAUCCUCAGUACCUCCA
rnacentral:tRNA from 1 species